GAAGGUAUAGCUCAGUGGUAGAGUGCAUGCCUAGCAUGUAUGAGGUCCUGGGUUCAAUCUUCAGUAUCUCCA
rnacentral:tRNA from 1 species